UCCAUAUGUUGCUUACACAUAAAGGCUCGCUCACCAGUGAGACCACAUUUUAGAUGUAAACCUUACAUAACUAAUCUUUGGACAGACCAGGGCUUGUACAAUUGAAACAGUUUUUGCUUAUA